CGAGCCACUGCCUGUUCACCCCGCUAUCAUCCAGAAGGCGAGGUCUUCCUCAAGCCUCAAACUGAAGGAGAGUGUGAGGCUGUGUGAGAUGUGGUUGGGUUCUUGCAUUGAAGAGGUUGCUGAGAGAAAACUGACCUCAAAGAACUCCUUUGUCAUUGUCUGGCCUACCACAAAUUACGUGGGGACUCUCAGUUCAUCUGAGGCAAAGGAGAAAUGUCUUUCAGCUUUACAAUGGCACAUCACUAAAUCCAAAUAAGUGGAAUAUCCCAGCAAUCUAACCAUGAAGGUUGUUCUCAUGAAUAUUGGAACUAGUGCAAUGACAACUGUGAAUGUGGACAAUAAAGACGACGUCAUCAGGAUCCUCACCCAACAGUUAAGCCUCACUGGCAGACCCACUGACUACCGGCUCUGGGUUGUCUCAUGGAGAGAGGAAGCCCCAUACCCUCUUAUUGGUCAUGAGCAUCCCUUCAGUAUUAUCCUAAACUCCUUGAGGGAAACAGACUGCCAAGUCUCAGCAGUCACCAACAACAUCCUGACUGUAGAUGGGAGCCUCUACCUUGAUCACCUUCUCAAAGACGCUUCCGGCCCAAGCUUCAUCCUCAGGCUAAAGGCUGAAGUGAGAGGACUUGGCCGAGCAGACUACUGAGCCAGCUUCCAGGAGGAUAAUGUUACAUUGCUCCGCUACCUGUUCGCCCUUCUGUACCACAUCCAGGAACGCUCGCAGGAGAACCAGAUGAACUUUUUCAACCUGGCCCUCUGUAUCGCUCCCAACAUGCUGUGGCUGCCUGUUCCCACUGGACCAGAGGAGGAGAGUCAGUCCACUAAAAAGGUUGCAGCUCUCGUUCAACAUCUCAUUGAAAACACCUCAGCCAUUUUGGUGAAGAUGUUGAGUGCAUUGUUACUGAGCCAAAGAAUGAACAAGGAACUGUAGAAGAUGUCAUGGUGGAGUCUUACCAGCAGGUCGACUCGUCUGAUUAUUGGGACUGGGAGAAGCAAGAAGGACUUCACUCUCCUAACAGGGAACCUUUUUUCCUGCCACUGGAGAAACUGGUCUUGAAAGAGGAGAAAGAGAUUUUGGGGCUUCUGAAUGAUGUUGACUCCUUGAAAAAGCAACAUGUGACUGAGGACAGUGCUUAUAGCUGUGUGAAUCUAGACUUAAUGUCUUCCCUCUCCAGUGGGUCUAUCUGCUCCCUGAUGUGGACACAACGUUUUUGCUCAGCCCGCUGCUCCUCAGAGGCCAUUGUGUGUCUAAGCUCCUCCUGGUUGGGGUCCCACAGCCAGCUCUACACUCCUGUUGCCCGCCAGUCCAGCUGCGAUGCAGCAGUGAUGUGUGGCCGUGCAGACCACUCCCAACACACACACAAAUCCCACACUAAGGGGCUACUAAAGGGGGACAGCAGCCCCCUUUAGACUGCAAGCACAAUCAGCCACAAGACUGCAAGCACAAUCAGCCACAAAACCGAAUGUGCAAUGAGCCACACUAUUAGAAUAUAACUGCCAACAACUGUCAGAUGCUGUGAGAGAAUACUUCAACUCAAGUGACAGCAAGAAUGGCCACUUAGAUGCAAAACUGAUCGAAAAAGAGCUCCUCCAGUGGCAAAAUAAAAUGUUGGAACCAACAGAAAAUGCUACAAAGCUAUCACAUGGUGAGGACUCAGUUGUCUGAUUUCAUAAUGCUCAUCAUUUGGUGUUUUGUAAUGGGCUAUCAGAAUGUAGAUCAUCCUGGGUUAUUUCACCGCCCUCUUUGUGUGUAUUUAUUGCUAAAUUAUAAAUUAAGUCAAUGAAGGAUCCCACUGGGCACAGACAUCAGUUCAACGUCUAAUUUUGAUUAACUUUAAGUUGAGUUGUCAUCUAAGGUGAAUUCAAAGUGAAAUCAAGAAAACAUUUCACAAUGUCAUUGGAUUUAGAUAAAAAAUUGGGUGAAAAAAUGUAGUAGUUAUCUUAUAUUGAUGACUUUUUGCAAAUCCAAUCGGUUUCUACACUUGGAUUCAACAUCAUCACAUUAAAUUUUUUGGUUGAAAUUAUGUGGAAACAACAUUGAUUCAACCAGUUUUUGUCCAGUUGGAUGGUGCAGAUUGAAUGCAGGCACUCAAACCACUCAGACAGAGCACUUCCUCCAACUGAGUGGGGAUUCAUAACCUUAAUAAUUUUCUAUACAGAAGCAUUAUGAAUAAGGACCAGACAUCUUGACAUUACUGUGAUUUGUGUGUUUCCUGAGGGGGCUGUGAUAAUCUGCCGGUGAAAAAGUAAAAACAACAAAAUGUGAGGCAAAUUAGGUAUAAGAUGCACAACUUGUAUAUGGGAAAACACACACAUUUAUUUCAGUUUUCAUGGGCUGGAUUCUGUUUUGCAAACAAAAAAAACAUACAGAAUAAUUGUAACAAUAUAAAUACCUGAGAUGGAAUAUUAUCCAAACUGAGUUCCAAAUACUGUAAAGUGAUUGUAUGGUGUGCAACACAUAUUCCUGCUGUAUAGUUAACAUUUGGUUAAUAAGAAAUCGCCUACUUCUCACUUUUAUCGCUAAAGAAAUAUGACCAACGUAAAUCACAUUGCAUAUAGUGAGUUAAAAUGUUUGUUUUGUUUUUGAACAGUUCAGUGCUAUUUUGCAUUUGCAAAAUGAAGCCUCAUGUAUACAUCUCAUUUAGAUGCAUUGAUAUAACGGUCUUAAACAUAUAAUAACAUAUACUGUACCACUUUUACCACAUCAUUGUUUGUUUUUAUGUAUGUUUUAUCCUAGAACUGUAACUUUGAACAAUAAUCAAAUGUGGCGUUAACCUUCAUAUCAAUUUUGUGUGUGUGUGUGUGGUGUGUGUGUGUGUGUGUGUGUGUGUGUGUGUGUGUGUGUGUG